CUACGGGGGGCUGCAGUAGGGAAUCUUCGGCAAUGGACGGAAGUCUGACCGAGCAACGCCGCGUGAGUGAAGAAGGUUUUCGGAUCGUAAAGCUCUGUUGUAAGAGAAGAACGAGUGUGAGAGUGGAAAGUUCACACUGUGACGGUAUCUUACCAGAAAGGGACGGCUAACUACGUGCCAGCAGCCGCGGUAAUACGUAGGUCCCGAGCGUUGUCCGGAGUUAUUGGGCGUAAAGCGAGCGCAGGCGGUUAGAUAAGUCUGAAGUUAAAGGCUGUGGCUUAACCAUAGUACGCUUUGGAAACUGUUUAACUUGAGUGCAGAAGGGGAGAGUGGAAUUCCAUGUGUAGCGGUGAAAUGCGUAGAUAUAUGGAGGAACACCGGUGGCGAAAGCGGCUCUCUGGUCUGUAACUGACGCUGAGGCUCGAAAGCGUGGGGAGCAAACAGGAUUAGAUACCCCAGUAGUC
rnacentral:rRNA from 1 species